rnacentral:rRNA from 1 species
AUACGGAGGGUGCAAGCGUUGUUCGGAAUUACUGGGCGUAAAGCGCGUGUAGGCGGCGGGGCAAGUCGGAUGUGAAAGCCCGGGGCUCAACCCCGGAACGGCAUCCGAAACUGCCCGGCUAGAGUCCCGGAGAGGAAGGCAGAAUUCCCAGUGUAGGGGUGAAAUCCGUAGAUAUUGGGAGGAAUACCAGUGGCGAAGGCGGCCUUCUGGACGGUGACUGACGCUCAGACGCGAAAGCGUGGGUAGCAAACAGGAGUAGAAACCCCGGUAGUCC